rnacentral:rRNA from 1 species
GACGGACGCUGGCGGCGUGCUUAACACAUGCAAGUCGAACGGAAAGGCCCCCUUGUGGGGUACUCGAGUGGCGAACGGGUGAGUAACACGUGAGUAACCUACCCUUGACUUUGGGAUAACUUCAGGAAACUGGGGCUAAUACCGGAUAGGAGCUCCUGCUGCAUGGUGGGGGUUGGAAAGUUUCGGCGGUUGGGGAUGGACUCGCGGCUUAUCAGCUUGUUGGUGGGGUAGUGGCUCACCAAGGCUUUGACGGGUAGCCGGCCUGAGAGGGUGACCGGCCACAUUGGGACUGAGAUACGGCCCAGACUCCUACGGGAGGCAGCAGUGGGGAAUAUUGCACAAUGGGCGGAAGCCUGAUGCAGCAACGCCGCGUGCGGGAUGACGGCCUUCGGGUUGUAAACCGCUUUCGCCUGUGACGAAGCGUGAGUGACGGUAAUGGGUAAAGAAGCACCGGCUAACUACGUG